AUUGCUGUUACAGACAAUCGCGCUAUUCCGCAGGGAAUGUGAGGAAAGUCCGGACUCCAUCAUUGCAGCGGUGCAGGGAGAAAAUCCCUGUCCGUAAUGCCGCAAGUCAUUACGGAAGAAAGUGUCACAGAAAAGUAAACUUUCCCGUCCAAAACGGGAUAAAGGUGAAACGGCAGGGUAAGAGCCUACCAUCGGUGAAGUGAUUCACCGGAUUGACAAACCUCACCGGGAGCAAGACCAAGUAAAGGGAGUUAAGUUCUGCAGCUUAGUAUUCUUCCUGGGUAGGUCGCAAAAAGCCCGGCAGCAAUGUUUCGGGCUAAGAUAAAUGAUUGUCGUACCGGUUUUACCGGUAAUACAGAAUCCGGCUUAUUUAAUGGCAAUAUAA
rnacentral:RNase_P_RNA from 1 species